rnacentral:rRNA from 1 species
AUGGAGUUCACACUUGAACCAAAAGAGGCUGGUGCGGGCAAGAAGAGGAAGGAGAGGGUCAAAAAGACCAUCGCCAGAAUAAUUGGCAGAUCUUCUAUGAUCAGAGACCCAGAUGAAGAGGAGGAAGAGCAAGAUGCACCUCCUGUCAAAACUCAGAAGUUGAUGGGGGUGCAAUCAAGCCAGGGGCUGCUCCAUCAAAGCCCAAGACUGCCCCCAAGGCUACUAUUGUUGCUGCUGCUCAAACUUCUAAGCCUGCAACUACAACUUCAGUUGCUCCUCCAGUUGCAACUCCACCAGCUCCUCGGACCUCUUCGGAUGCAUUUGCUGCAGGACUCCUCUCCACGCCACCUUUGCACUCUGGAGCUCCCAGAGAUCAUGCUUAGAGAGCCGCAUAGCACUAUGCAUUUUCAAGCUUUUUGGUAA